GACGAACCGUCCUAACGUUAUUCGGAAUUACUGGGCUUAAAGGGUGCGUAGGCGGCGCGGAAAGUUGGGUGUGAAAUCCCUCGGCUUAACCGAGGAACUGCGCCCAAAACUACCGUGCUUGAGGGAGAUAGAGGUGAGCGGAACUUAGGGUGGAGCGGUGAAAUGCGUUGAUAUCCUAAGGAACACCGGUGGCGAAAGCGGCUCACUGGAUCUCUUCUGACGCUGAGGCACGAAAGCUAGGGUAGCAAACGGG
rnacentral:rRNA from 1 species